UUAUCCGGAUUCAUUGGGUUUAAAGGGUGCGCAGGCGGAUUGGUAAGUCAGGGGUGAAAUCCCACAGCUCAACUGUGGAACUGCCUUUGAUACUGUCAGUCUAGAGUAUAGUUGAAGUUGGCGGAAUGUGUCAUGUAGCGGUGAAAUGCUUAGAUAUGACACAGAACACCGAUCGCGAAGGCAGCUAGCUAAGCUAUAACUGACGCUCAUGCACGAAAGCGUGGGGAUCAAACAGGAUUAGAUACCCUGGUAGUCCACGCUGUAAACGAUGAUUACUCGAUGUUGGCGAUACACAGUCAGCGUCUGAGCGAAAGCAAUAAGUAAUCCACCUGGGGAGUACGAUCGCAAGAUUGAAACUCAAAGGAAUUGACGGGGGCCCGCACAAGCGGAGGAGCAUGUGGUUUAAUUCGAUGAUACGCGAGGAACCUUACCUGGGCUCGAACGUAAGAUGACUGUAGGUGAAAGCUUACAUCUCUUCGGAGCAUUUUACGAGGUGCUGCAUGGUUGUCGUCAGCUCGUGCCGUGAGGUGUCGGGUUAAGUCCCAUAACGAGCGCAACCCCUACCUUUAGUUGCCAUCAGGUCAUGCUGGGGACUCUAAAGGAACUGCCUACGCAAGUAGUGAGGAAGGCGGGGAUGACGUCAAAUCAGCACGGCCCUUACGUCCAGGGCUACACACGUGCUACAAUGGCCGGUACAGAGGGCAGCUACCUGGUGACAGGAUGCAAAUCUCCAAAGCCGGUCUCAGUUCGGAUCGGAGUCUGCAACCCGACUCCGUGAAGUUGGAUUCGCUAGUAAUCGCGCAUCAGCCAUGGCGCGGUGAAUACGUUCCCGGGCCUUGUACACACCGCCCGUCAAGCCAUGGAAGCUGGGGGGACCUAAAGUCGAUAACCGCAAGGAGUCGCCUAGGGUAAAACCAGU
rnacentral:rRNA from 1 species